rnacentral:rRNA from 1 species
AUUGAACGCUGGCGGCAGGCCUAACACAUGCAAGUCGAGCGGAUGAAGGGAGCUUGCUCCUGGAUUCAGCGGCGGACGGGUGAGUAAUGCCUAGGAAUCUGCCUGGUAGUGGGGGAUAACGUCCGGAAACGGGCGCUAAUACCGCAUACGUCCUGAGGGAGAAAGUGGGGGAUCUUCGGACCUCACGCUAUCAGAUGAGCCUAGGUCGGAUUAGCUAGUUGGUGGGGUAAAGGCCUACCAAGGCGACGAUCCGUAACUGGUCUGAGAGGAUGAUCAGUCACCCUGGAAGUGAGAACCGGCCCGGAUCCCACGGGGGGGCAGAGGGGGGAAAUUUUGGAAAAGGGGCGAAAGCCUGAUCCAGCCAUGCCGGGGGGGUGAAGAAGGUUUUCGGUUUGUAAAGCACUUUAAGUUGGGGGGAAGGGAAGUAAGUUAAUCCCUUGCUUUUUGGACUUUACCAACAAAAUAAACCCGGGCGAACUUCGU